CUAUCUGAGUCUGGGGCCAAUAGGUUUGCAGCAAUGCUCUGGUCGCCGUAAUACCGGCCUUUAAUGACUAUUAAUACAGACCUGAUAAUCAUAUUCACUGAUGACGUCAAAAGGGUUCUUAUGACACAACAGCCGCAAGUCAAAUACCGU
rnacentral:sRNA from 19 species